rnacentral:rRNA from 1 species
GGGGAAUCUUGGACAAUGGGCGACAGCCUGAUCCGGCGACCCCUGGUGAAGGAAGAAGUCCUUCGCGAUGUAAACUGCGUAACUAGCAGAAUAAAAGGCGUGUGGAUACACAUGAGAAGUACGUAGAAAAGGCAAAGUCCCGGCAAACUACGUGCCAGCAGCCGCGGUAAGACGUAGGGGGCAAGCGUUACCCGGAAUUACUGGGCGUAAAGGGGGCGUAGGCGGUAAAAGAAGUCAUCUGUGAAAACCUAUUGCUCAACGAUAGGCUAGCGGAUGAAACUGAAUUACUUGAGGGCACCAGAGGUAGACGGAAUUACCCGAGUAGGGGUGAAAUCCGCAGAUACGGGUAGGAACGCCGGUGGAGAAGUCGGUCUACUGGGGUGCACCAGACGCUGAGGCCCGAAAGCUAGGGGAGCAAACC